rnacentral:tRNA from 1 species
GCCGAAGUAGCUCAGUGGCAGAGCAACGCUUUCGUAAAGCGUGGGUCGUGGGUUCGAUUCCCACUUUCGGCU